GAUGAAGAACGUAGCGAAAUGCGAUAAGUAAUGUGAAUUGCAGAAUUCAGUGAAUCAUCGAAUCUUUGAACGCACAUUGCGCCCGCCAGUAUUCUGGCGGGCAUGCCUGUUCGAGCGUCAUUUCAACCAUCAAGCCCCAGGCUUGUGUUGGGGACCUGCGGCUGCCGCAGGCCCUGAAAACCAGUGGCAGGCUCGCUGUCACACCGGGCGUAGUAGAUUUUAUCUCGCUCAGGGCGUGCUGCGGGUUCCGGCCGUUAAAAAGCCUUUUUUACCCAAGGUUGACCUCGGAUCAGGUAGGAAGACCCGCUGAACUUAAGCAUAUCAAUAAGCGGAGGA
rnacentral:misc_RNA from 1 species